rnacentral:rRNA from 1 species
CGGGGGGGUAAGCGUUGUUCGAAUUACUGGGCGUAAAGGCUCGUAGGCGCAACUAAGUCAUACGUGAAAUCCCUCAGCUUAACUGGGGAACUGCGUGUGAUACUGGAUGGCUUGGAUUUGGGAGAGGGAUGCGGAAUUCCAGGUGUAGCGGUGAAAUGCGUAGAUAUCUGGAGGAACACCGGUGGCGAAGGCGGCAUCCUGGACCAAUAUUGACGCUGAGGAGCGAAAGCCAGGGGAGCAAACGGGAUUAGAUACCCCGGUAGUCCUGGCCCUAAACGAUGAAUGCUUGGUGUAGCGGGUAUCGAUCCCUGCUGUGCCGAAGCUAACGCAUUAAGCAUUCCGCCUGGGGAGUACGGUCGCAAGGCUG